GGUUCGAUCAUGGCUCAGAUUGAACGCUGGCGGAUGCUUACACAUGCAAGUCGAACGGCAGCACGGACUUCGGUCUGGUGGCGAGUGGCGAACGGGUGAGUAAUGUAUCGAAACGUGCCUAGUAGCGGGGAUAACUACGUGAAAGCGUAGCUAAUACCGCAUAAUGCCCUUCGGGAAAGCGGGGACCUUCGGGCCUCGCACUAUUAGAGCGGCCGAUAUCGGAUUAGCUAGUUGGUGGGGUAACGGCUCACCAAGGCGACGAUCCGUAGCUGGUUUGAGAGGACGACCAGCCACACUGGGACUGAGACACGGCCCAGACUCCUACGGAGGCAGCAGUGGGGAAUUUUGACAAUGGGGGAAACCCUGAUCCAGCCAUCCCGCGUGUGCGAUGAAGGCCUUCGGGUUGUAAAGCACUUUUGGCAGGAAAGAAACGCACGGGAUAAUACCCCGUGCAACUGACGGUACCUGCAGAAUAAGCACCGGCUAACUACGUGCCAGCAGCCGCGGUAAUACGUAGGGUGCAAGCGCUAAUCGGAAUUACUGGGCGUAAAGCGUGCGCAGGCGGUUCGGAAAGAAAGAUGUGAAAUCCCAGAGCUUAACUUUGAACUGCAUUUUUAACUACCGAGCUAGAGUGUGUCAGGAGGGAGGUGGAAUUCCGCGUGUAGCAUAAGGAAUGCGUAGAUAUGCGGAGGAACACCGAUGGCGAAGGCAGCUUCCUGAUAACACUUAUCGCUCAUGCACGCAAGCGUGGGGAGCAAAACAGGAUUAGAUACCCUGGUAGUCCACGCCCUAAACGAUGUCAACUAGCUGUUGGGGCCUUCGGGCCUGGUAGCGCAGCUAACGCGUGAAGUUGACCGCCUGGGGAGUACAGUCGCAAGAUUAAAACUCAAAGGAAUUGACGGGGACCCGCACAAGCGGUGGAUGAUGUGGAUUAAUUCGAUGCAACGCGAAAAAACCUUACCUACCCUUGACAUGUCUGGAAUCCCGAAGAGAUUUUGGGAGGUGUUUGCAAGAGAACCGAACACAGGUGCUGCAUGGUUGUCGUCAGCUCGUGUCGUGGAGAUGUUGGGUUAAGUCCCGCAACGAGCGCAACCUCUUUGUCAUUAGUUGCUACGAAAGGGCACUCUAAUGAGACUGCCGGUGACAAACCGGAGGAAGGUGGGGAUGACGUCAAGUCCUCAUGGCCCUUAUGGGUAGGGCUUCACACGUUAUACAAUGGUCGGGACAGAGGGUCGCCAACCCGCGAGGGGAGCCAAUCCCAGAAACCCGAUCGUAGUCCGGAUCGCAGUCUGCACCGACUGCGUGAAGUCGGAAUCGCUAGUAAUCGCGGAUCAGCAUGUCGCGGUGAAUACGUUCCUCGGUCUUGUACACACCGCCCGUCACACCAUGGGAGUGGGUUUACCAGAAGGCGAAGUCGUACUAACCGUAAGGAGGGCGAUUACCACGGUAGGAUUCAUGACUGGGGUGAAGUCGUAACAAGGUAA
rnacentral:rRNA from 1 species